UCUUUGCCUUUUGGUGGUGUAAAGCACAGCGGUUUUGGAAGAUUUGCGGGUGUGGAAGGGUUGCGAGCUUGCUGUCUUGUUAAGUCAGUAGUUGAGGACAAAUGGUGGCCGUACAUUAAAACAAAGAUCCCGAAGCCCAUCCAGUACCCUGUUGCGGAGAAUGGCUUCGAGUUUCAGGAAUCACUUGUUGAAGCUCUUUAUGGCUUGAAUGUAUGGGACAGGCUGCGGGCACUGGUUGAUGUGUUGAAGAUCCUUUUAGAGCAGAACUCCGCUUCUAGGACUCUUUAGAAGGGCACUGAGAAGAUACAUGAAAUUUGUAUGAUUUGCUUCUACGUAUUAUGUGCAAUUAUACAAAAGAUCUUUUAAUCCUUAAAUACACUGCCUUUGCCCAGCUUUGAAUCUUUCUUUCUCUCUCUCUCCUCCCUCCCUCUCUUCACCAAGUUCUUGAUUUGAAGGCUAGAACUGUCCCGAUCAGCCUCCAGUAUGGCUCAGUGCGCCCGAACUGGGCCGUUCGGCAUGGUACUGGUGACAUUGAACAUUGUCUAGUACCAAUUUUUUAGUGGGAAAUAUACCUAUUUAAAUAGAUAUUUUUUAUUACAGUGCUGGAGCUGCUGAGAUACUUAUUUGAGAGUAUUUAUCAUCAUGCUGAACCGGGGAUAGCUAAUAAUGUGCACAGCAGAGAAAAUUGGCUUGGUUUGGGCCUUUUUUUCAGAUUAAGAGAUCAGUUUGGCCAGGCUUUUGCAUGAUUCGCUGCCUGCUGAUGAUGAUGACCUUGUCCACUCAACAAUUCUUCUUACUUUUGAUGAGAUUGAGAUAGGGGUGAAAAAAACUCUACCUGCAGUGCUCUGAUUGAUCUUUGUAUUGGAUAUAGACAAAUUUGUGUUUAAUUUCAGUUUCUCAUUUGUUUGGUUAGUUCUACAUAUCUAGGCCUAUUACUGCUGUUUUACAUUUGAGCCAGAAACCUGAUAUUGUUGGUCAGAAUUGCAUAUUUUCAGAUCAUCCAGUCCUUGCUCAUGCAGAAACUAAAAUGCAGAUGGCAUAUUCAUUGCUAGUUUUAUUGUCUCUAUUUACAUGACUAUGCUGGAGUGGCGAUCUAAAAUAUCUUUAUCGUAAAUUUCAUUUAUUGAUGCAUUUCCAAAAAAGUAGGCAUUCAAAUCUGGAACAUUACUAGCACCAUCAUGGAUGUUCUCCACUGCAGAAAUAUGUUUAAUGAUAUUCCUAGUUGGAGUUUUAUCACCCCUAAGUAUCAUUCCUUAGUAAUUUUUGUUCAUGACCUCUUAUCCGAUUGAAUUGCAUUCUUUUAAUAGGUUUCAGAGCAUGCAAGUUGGUCUGGGUGCUUUUAUUUUCGAAUCAUUCAAGCAGCUCUUGCUGCUGUAGGAGCGCCGGAUAAUUUGGUUCAUAUAUUAACAGGGUAUACAUGGACUUUCAGAAUUCAAGUUUGUGCUGCAGUUGAAUUAUUAGGAAAUUGUUUGAUAAUAUAGUUUUACUUUUCCUUUGCAGAUUUGCAGAAACAGGACAGGCUCUUGUAUCUUCAGUUGACAAAAUCAUUUUUGUUGGAUCACCUGGAGUGGGCAAGAUGGUAUUGCCUACAGGAUGUCCUGGCUAGUUUCCUGGUUGUUAAUGGUUUUUAAUUAUCUGAUGUUCUUCUGAACCAUUGAGUUAGCCAAAGCUUCCUUAAAAAUUACUUUUGAUGCCCACAGUUUCAAUUUGUUCAUUUGUGAUCAUUAAUUUUGAUAAUAAGGAAAUGGCAUUCUCAUCAUGCUGCUGCAGUUCUCAAAAAUAACUGACUUCAGAGUUCUAUGAAGGUGGAAAAUAUGUUUUCCUGUAACCAAACAUUUACAUGUUAUGCUAAUUGAAAACCAGUGGAGUUUAAGUUGAGGGUAUCUCACUACAUCUUUACAAGUAUUUGAUUCCAUUUCUUUUUCCUCUUAGUUUCAGAACCACUUAAUUUAUGUAGUUCUGGGCUGGAUAAAGGAGGGGAAGAGCUUCAAGGGUACAAAAACCUAGUUUUAGCCGUAUCUCAUGUUUCGCGAUCCCUCAGAGAAGGGUUAUAAGAUAUUUAACAGCAAAGAAUGUAGUUUUUUUUAAAAAAGAAAAAGUUAAUCUCAUUAAUGUAACCCUCACAGAGUUGUUUGGGCUCAAUAGGCUAAGGGCUGUGGAACACCUGAGUGGUCAUGAUUAUGAACUGUUGAUUUGUUUACUUUUCCUAUUCAUGUCUUUAUUUGCUGGAUUUUCAUAUUUAUUUUUUCAUAUAUUACAGAUCAUGCAAAAGGCUUCAGAGACCUUGAUACCUGUCACCCUGGAGCUUGGUGGAAAAGAUGCAUUUAUUGUGUGCGAGGAUGUAGAUGUGCCUCAUGUAUUGAUGUUUCCUUCUUGUUAAAUUGUACUAUUUGUAUUGGCUGUAUUCUAUUGUAUUUUCUCUUUUAAAAUAAAAUCUGUAUUAUGUUUUGUUAUGUGAAGCAACCUUUGAAGAGUGCCACUGAUCUGUUGCUUGACAUAUUUUUUCCAUUUGUAGGUGGUGCAAGUUGCAACUAGAGGUGCUCUCCAAUCUAGCGGACAAAACUGUGCUGGUGCUGAAAGAUUCUAUGUCCACAAAGACAUCUAUUCUACUUUUGUUGCUCAAAUAGUCAAACUUGUUAAAUCCAUUUCCGUUGUAAGUGGAUCCGUCUAGCUUAGCUGAUGUUAAAUUGUUCUACAUCAUAUGUUCUAAAGAUGCCCGACUGCAAAUUAAACCACUUAUACUAACGUGAAAUGUAAGUCAAUAAUUGAAGCCAUCAAUAUAUUUAUUCACAAUAUUCUUGAGAGAGAUGACUGUCAGGCAGUAUAUGCCCUAUUCAUACUUUCUAAUAACACCAGCCUUCGUGCAACAGUAGUUUACCGCAAAAAUAUUGUACGUUGGUUUGCUUCUGAAGUGGUUUCUGAAGAAGUUAAUGAUAUGAGGAGAUUGGAAGAAUGUUUCCAGCUACUUGAUUUAGUUAUCUUGAUUUCAGUGAACUUCAAUUUGAAUUAUCUUUAUUUUCUUUUGUUUUUCCAUUUUUUUGCAGGUCUUUGUACUCGUAGAUAAUGAGUUAGAAAGACAUAAAUUGCUACUAAAUAACUUUAUGUCAUUACUCCUGCGAUAACAAGAUGCUAACCAUUUUUUGUGUUUUGAAAAUUGGAUUUGUUCAUCAUUUUCUUGGAUUUACCUGUCUUCAUCACCACAGGCACAUAAGAUUCCUGCGAGUCAAUGCUUCUUCAUGUAAUAUAGUCAGUGUCUACAUUUUCUAGACCAUAUUAAAUCUGCGGAUGGUUGAAUUAAGCUUGUGCUUGUUUGUUGAUUGAAAUGUUGAAUUUAAAAUAAAAUUGAAUUUCAUCCUUAAUUGACCAUCUUGUUUGUGUAGGGUCCACCACUAGCUGGCAGAUAUGAUAUGGGUGCAAUAUGUAUGCAAGAGCAUGCUGAAAAACUUCAAAAUCUCAUGAAUGAUGCGCUGGAGAAAGGGGCGGAAAUUGUUGGUAGGGGAAGCUUUGGCAAUUUGGGAGAAGAUGCAGUUGAUCAGUUCUUUCCUCCAACUGUUCUGGUGAAUGUUGAUCACUCCAUGAAAUUGAUGCAAGAGGAGGUAGCUGAGAAAUUGUAAAGCUUUUAAAAAAUUAGUUUUUCCAUGCAAUGUUCUUCGUAAAGUCAUAUUUGAUUGAUCUGUAGGCUUUUGGACCAAUCAUCCCAAUCAUGAAAUUCAGUUCUGAUGAAGAGGCUAUUAAACUUGCAAAUGACUCGAAAUACGGACUUGGUUGUGCCGUGUUUUCUGGCAACCAGAAGCGUGCCAUUGAAAUAGCUUCCCAGUUGCAUUGUGGAGUUGCAGCAAUCAAUGAUUUUGCAUCAACAUAUAUGUGCCAGGUAAUUGAAAGAUGCAGUCUGUUAUGUUGGCCUUGUUUCCUGGGCUAGAUACAAUUCUGAAUCUCGUGAUCCAUUCACAAUGCUAUAUUCAUCUAUAACUAAGCACGGUAAAAUUUUCUUCUAAUAAAUUAUGCCUUGUCAUUACAAUUUGGGUUCAGCAAUAUGGUCCUUAUUCACCAAUUAUUUCUGUUAAGUGUUACCUCUGAUGUAUUGCAUUUUUUUUUUGUAGAAUUAGCUUUUUUGCAUGCUUUUACUCCAUUCAAUGUGGUUACGCUUGUCUUUCUGCUAUCAAAGUUUAGUAGUAUAAGUUGUGGUUUAUCAACAAGUUAAAAAAAUUGUGCAAAACAGAACAAAUUAAAGUUACAUACGUGGUAUUUUAUUUUAAGUAUGUUAUUCUGCAGGAUGUUCCUCAUUUCAAAUAUUUCUUUUAAGACUCAGUGAUUUUGUGAUAUAAGAACCCAUUAUAAACUUUGUUUUUCCACUCUUACUCGAAAUAUGUCAUGCUAUCAGAAGGUAGCAUUAUUGGUUACACUUGCUUUAAUGUUAGUCUGGAUAUGCCAUUGCUUAGAUACAGGGAUUUCAGCUUCCAUCAGAUUUUUGGAAUCCAAAUAUUUUUUCUGCUGUCUACGUUGUAUCUAUUUUAUCAAGUCACGUGAACUGUUCAUGCAAAUCAGUAGGUUGUUGGUUUAUAGCUGUGGCAAUCCUGGGUUGUUAAUGUAGAUGUGUGCUGUUGGCCCCAGAAAAUUCAUCUGUUGGACAUCUGAUUUAACCAUGAGACUCUUUGUAUGGUUUCCAUUGAAAAGCUUUGUAUGACGUAGGGCAGAGGGAGAAGAAGUAGGAGGAAAAGUAGAAGAAGAGAGAAGAAGGCAGAGGGAGAAGAAGAAGUAGGAGGAAAAGUAGAAGAGAGAAGAAGGCAGAGGGAGAGAGAAAAGACGAAUUUUCAAUAUUAUGUAAUCUCAAUAAUAUAAGCUGUAUUAUCAAUUAAUAUAGUAAUGGAUUUAUAUGGACAGCUCAAAACCCUAAUGACAGCCUGCAGAAAAUUAAAAUACUAGAGUCCUCAUAAAAUUCUAAUUCUAGAAUCCACAAAAUUCUAGUCCUAGAGUCUACAUAAAAAUAAAAUUUUCUAAUUCGCAAAUAAAAUAAAAUUUUUUAAUUUCUAUAUUUGCCCUUAACAGAAGUGCUCAUUCUUAUUGGACAGUCCUCUGUUACUAUUGAUGCAUUGCAUACCAAAAAUUCCUCUAUAAAUGUGCCAAUGGCAAGUGGUUGAUCAAUAUGGCAAAUGAUUUGGACUUAGAACAGGCGUAAGGGUAUCAUAUUUGGUUUCCCCUGUGCAAGUGUUCUCUCCAUAGUUUUAACAUGGAAGUGACGUAUUGUUCUUCACCUGUAGCUCUAGGCCAGUUAAUGAUCUUACAUGGCUGUAAAAUCUAGUUUAAUUUCCCUCCAUUACACUCAGGAAUAUCUAGCAGUCAACACCACUGGCUGCUUACUUAUUUUCCCUCUUCAAUGUAGUCUUUGCCUUUUGGUGGUGUAAAGCACAGCGGUUUUGGAAGAUUUGCGGGUGUGGAAGGGUUGCGAGCUUGCUGUCUUGUUAAGUCAGUAGUUGAGGACAAAUGGUGGCCGUACAUUAAAACAAAGAUCCCGAAGCCCAUCCAGGUCUGCUAUUAGAAAACUUGCCCCAAAUAAAGUGUGGUGUCUAUUUUACUAAUGCACUUUUAACUUGUUUACUAGUACCCUGUUGCGGAGAAUGGCUUCGAGUUUCAGGAAUCACUUGUUGAAGCUCUUUAUGGCUUGAAUGUAUGGGACAGGCUGCGGGCACUGGUUGAUGUGUUGAAGAUCCUUUUAGAGCAGAACUCCGCUUCUAGGACUCUUUAGAAGGGGCACUGAGAAGAUACAUGAAAUUUGUAUGAUUUGCUUCUACGUAUUAUGUGCAAUUAUUCCAAAAGAUCUUUUAAUCCUUAAAUGCACUGCCUUUGCCCAGCUUUGAACAUCUUUUUUGACCUGUUUUGAUGUAGAUGUGAUUGACUCACACCUAUAUGCGAGAAUCUGUCAUGUUUCUA
rnacentral:lncRNA from 1 species